rnacentral:rRNA from 1 species
AAUUCGCCCUUAGAGUUUGAUCAUGGCUCAGAAUCAACGCUGGCGGCGUGCCUCAGACAUGCAAGUCGAACGCGAAAUCUCCCUUCGGGGAGAAAGUAGAGUGGCGCACGGGUGAGUAACACGUAGGUAAUCUACCUUCGGAUGGGGAAUAACACCGAGAAAUCGGUGCUAAUACCGCAUAAUGCAGCGGCACCUAAUGGUGACAGUUGUUAAAGCGGGGGAUCGCAAGACCUCGCGUCUGAAGAGGAGCCUGCGGCGGAUUAGCUAGUUGGUAAGGUAAUGGCUUACCAAGGCGACGAUCCGUAACCGGCCUGAGAGGGCGGUCGGUCACACUGACACUGACAUACGGGUCAGACUCCUACGGGAGGCAGCAGUCGGGAAUUUUGGGCAAUGGGCGAAAGCCUGACCCAGCAACGCCGCGUGAAGGAUGAAAUCCCUCGGGAUGUAAACUUCGCAAGAACGGGAAGAAUAAGUCUGUGUUAACACCACAGGCGAUGACGGUACCGUUUGUAAGCUCCGGCUAACUCCGUGCCAGCAGCCGCGGUAAUACGGGGGGAGCAAGCGUUGUUCGGAUUUACUGGGCGUAAAGGGCGCGUAGGCGGCCACCGCAAGUCAAUUGUGAAAUCUCCGGGCUUAACUCGGAAAGGUCAGCUGAUACUGCGGGGCUAGAGUGCAGAAGGGGCAACUGGAAUUCU